GGCCGAGUAAAACACUUAUCGAACGCGAUAUCCACGCGAUAUUAUAUUGACAAUGACACACUUUUCCAUCGCGUCACGCGCGUAGUCAUUGGACGCACUCAAUGAGAACGUAGCUCCGAGAAUACACUACUCUCGCGUUUUUACCGCGGGCAUAAAUAUAAUACACGCGUAUUAUUUGUAAACCGGAGUGUACAGAUACGAACGUUGCGUAAGCGGGUACAAAAUAGAAUAUAUACCGUUCACUGUUCGGGUAUGCGCGCCGAUCGCGGAAAUAACGACGGUGAUGAUAACAAUAACGACAAUAAUAAUCACCAAGAACAAACACUGUAUUAUUAAUAUUCGUCGUACACGCGCGUAUUAUUAUUCGAGAACGGGCCGGGACAUCGAAAAA